CCUACGGGAGGCAGCAGUGGGGAAUAUUGGACAAUGGGGGCAACCCUGAUCCAGCCAUGCCGCGUGUGUGAAGAAGGCCCUCGGGUUGUAAAGCACUUUCAGUGAGGAAGAACGCCUGGUGGUUAAUACCCAUCAGGAAAGACAUCACUCACAGAAGAAGCACCGGCUAACUCCGUGCCAGCAGCCGCGGUAAUACGGAGGGUGCGAGCGUUAAUCGGAAUUGCUGGGCGUAAAGCGCGCGUAGGUGGCUUGAUAAGCCGGUUGUGAAAGCCCCGGGCUCAACCUGGGAACGGCAUCCGGAACUGUCAAGCUAGAGUGCAGGAGAGGAAGGUAGAAUUCCCGGUGUAGCGGUGAAAUGCGUAGAGAUCGGGAGGAAUACCAGUGGCGAAGGCGGCCUUCUGGACUGACACUGACACUGAGGUGCGAAAGCGUGGGUAGCAAACAGGAUUAGAUACCCGAGUAGUC
rnacentral:rRNA from 1 species